rnacentral:misc_RNA from 1 species
UUUCCGUAGGUGAACCUGCGGAAGGAUCAUUACAAAUCUUUUGCGAGUCUGUGUGCUUAACGGCCGCAGUUCUCACACAUUAGCACAAGGUCGCAAGGCCUUGAUGUUUACGCUUGUAUGUUUGUCAGAGUUAGUUGAGACAAAAAAAAGACAACUUUUAACAAUGGAUCUCUUGGCUCUU